rnacentral:rRNA from 1 species
UACGGAGGGGGCUAGCGUUGUUCGGAAUUACUGGGCGUAAAGCGCACGUAGGCGGCUUUGUAAGUUAGAGGUGAAAGCCCGGGGCUCAACUCCGGAAUUGCCUUUAAGACUGCAUCGCUAGAAUUGUGGAGAGGUAGGUGGAAUUCCUAGUGUAGAGGUGAAAUUCGUAGAUAUUAGGAAGAACACCAGUGGCGAAGGCGGCUUACUGGCUCGUAACUGACGCUGAGGCGCGAAAGCGUGGGGAGCAAACAGG